rnacentral:rRNA from 1 species
UAGUCCACGCCCUAAACGAUGUAUGCUAGACGUCGGGAGACUUGUCUUUCGGUGUCGCCGCUAACGCAUUAAGCAUACCGCCUGGGGAGUACGGUCGCAAGAUUAAAACUCAAAGGAAUUGACGGGGCCCGCACAAGCGGUGGAGCAUGUGGUUUAAUUCGAAGCAACGCGCAGAACCUUACCAACCCUUGACAUGUCGGUUUUGGAUGCAGAGAUGUAUUCUUGACUUCGGUCGGCCGUCACAGGUGCUGCAUGGCUGUCGUCAGCUCGUGUCGUGAGGUGUCAGGUUAAGUCCCUUAACGAGCGCAACCCUUAUGAUAUAGUUGUAUUUUUCUAUACAGACUGCCACGGUAACGUGGAGGAAGGAGGGGAUGGACGUCAGGGUCCUCAUUGCCCUUACGCCCUGGGGCUAGAAACGCGCUACAAUGGCCAGUACAGUGGGGCCGCGAAGCAGUAAUGUGGAGCAAA